rnacentral:tRNA from 2 species
GCUUAAGUAUUUUAAUAAAAAUGUUGUUUUGUGGGAUCAAUGAUAUGGUAUAUUACCAUCUUAAGCC